UACGUAGGUGGCAAGCGUUGUUCGGAAUUAUUGGGCGUAAAGGGCGCGUAGGCGGCAUGUUAAGUCGGCUGUGAAAGCCUGGGGCUCAACCCCAGAGGGUCGGCCGAUACUGGCAAGCUAGAGUUCGGUAGGGGCAACUGGAACAAGCGGUGGAGCGGUGAAAUGCGUAGAUAUCGCUUGGAACGCCAACGGUGAAAACAGGUUGCUGGGGGUGUGCUGACGCUGAGACACGAAAGCCAGGGGAGCGAACGGG
rnacentral:rRNA from 1 species